UCAGGUGGGCAGUUUGACUGGGGCGGUCGCCUCCUAAAGUGUAACGGAGGCGCUCAAAGGUUCCCUCAGAAUGGUUGGAAAUCAUUCGCAGAGUGUAAAGGUAUAAGGGAGCUUGACUGCGAGAGAGACAACUCGAGCAGGUAGGAAACUAGGACUUAGUGAUCUGGUGGUACCGGAUGGAAGGGCCAUCACUCAACGGAUAAAAGCUACCCUGGGGAUAACAGGCUUAUCUCCCCCAAGAGU
rnacentral:rRNA from 1 species